rnacentral:rRNA from 1 species
ACCCGCUGAACUUAAGCAUAUCAAUAAGCGGAGGAAAAGAAACCAACAGGGAUUGCCCUAGUAACGGCGAGUGAAGCGGCAUCAGCUCAAAUUUGAAAUCUGGCUCUUUUAGGGUCCGAGUUGUAAUUUGCAGAGGGCGCUUUGGCAUAGGCAGCGAUUCAAGUUCCUUGGAACAGGACGUCACAGAGGGUGAGAAUCCCGUACGUGGUCGCUAGCUCUUGCCGUGUAAAGCCCCUUCGACGAGUCGAGUUGUUUGGGAAUGCAGCUCUAAAUGGGAGGUAAAUUUCUUCUAAAGCUAAAUAUUGGCCAGAGACCGAUAGCGCACAAGUAGAGUGAUCGAAAGAUGAAAAGUACUUUGGAAAGAGAGUCAAAAAGCACGUGAAAUUGUUGAAAGGGAAGCGCUUGCAGCCAGACUUGCCUGUAGUUGCUCAUCCGGGCUUUUGUCCGGUGCACUCUUCUGUAGGCAGGCCAGCAUCAGUUUGGGCGGUUGGAUAAAGGUCUCUGUCACGUACCUCUCUUCGGGGAGGCCUUAUAGGGGAGACGACAUACUACCAGCCUGGACUGAGGUCCGCGCAUCUGCUAGGAUGCUGGCGUAAUGGCUGU